CCAGAUCCUGAGAACCCUCACUCCGUUGCCCUCGACAUCCACUCCCGGAGACCGGCGGCGCCCCGCUGCCCUCUCCAACCGAUUCCAGCGACCGGCGGCGCCCCGCUUCCCUCGCCCACGACGGAAGACCAGAUUCCGGCGACCGUGCCUCUCCCCUAACCUUCCUCCUCCUUAUCCACAGACGGCUGCGCCCCUCCCAUCCCCUUCCUCUUUCUCCACCGGCGUUCGCUCCCCUCCCAUCUCCUUCCUCCGUUUUCUCAACCGGUGACUGCGCCCCACUUACACUGCUCAUGGCCCGCACCUUCCAUGUCGCCGGAUCGACUGGGUUUGCGCCUUCCACCGCGGGAUCGACCAAUGGAGUGGCGACUCUCAAAAUCAUCGCCUAUAUUUGUUCGCUGCUCCCCCUGCUCGCCCCUCCAAUCUCCCGCGGGAGCUCACAAUCCACACCGCCCGGAGCGAUUAACUUUUCCACCAUGGGAAGUUCACCUUUCCCCCCGGUCGCAGGCCCAGACGCUGCACCCCCAAGUUCGACCUUUCCCCCUGUCUCAACCCAUGAAGUUUACUCCAUCGCCAGUAGUAAGCUUGGGGGCUUUGGGGACAAGAUGAUAUGGCUCUGCCUCAAGAGGCUCUUGUAUACCAACGACCAGGGGGAGAUCGUCAAAGGUGUCUGCUCAAACUUCCUCUGUAUGUACAAUGUUCUCAUCACAAUCCCUUUUUUCAGUUUCAUAGAUAGCUAACUCUUAUUUAUGAAUUGAUUUGUUAACAAAUUGCGGAAACAUUACGAGAGAUGAAAUGGAUUUAAAACUGAUUCAUUAUGAGAUGAAAUAUUGAUGGAUGAAAUAUGUGUGUAAGUGACCAUCAUGUGGUCAUCCUUAUAUGCUUUGCAUUGCCAGAUUGACUAGGAUUAGCAUGGAUAUGGAGAAAGACCUAAGCGUGCAAGAAUAUUUUGAGAGUUCAGUAUAUAUAUGCUCAGUUGUCCUAGGUAUUUGUUGUUCAGGCUUACUAGGUGCUAUUUCUGAAUCGAAGUUCAGAUUGAAUUGUCUGGUAGUUCCCUUUCAUAUUGUUAGUCGCCAAGUACAUUUUGUUAGCCAUGGAUGUUUGUUUCCUUUCAUGGGGAAGUUCAGGGAUAACAGUUUUCGGUUUUUAGUUGAAAAGCAUACAAAGUAAAAAUAUGUUCCAACAAAAAAUGAUAUAAAUGUGUGAUGGCUGCGAGGUUCAAUUCCGUUAUCUGGAUUUUACAGAUUUUUCGUGUUGUAGGUUUUUCCGACGAAGUUCACAAUUUACUUGUGCCGGUCAUGAGUCCGUGAAAGCCUUUAGAAGUUCAUUUCUGUUCUCUGUUUUUAAUGGGAAUUUUGAAUUAAGCCUGAGCAAAAUAUGGCACAUGUAUGUGCUGAUGCGUGUCUGACUAUAAAAAGAGGUAGAAGUUCAGUUUGUUUAUAAAGAAAGUUUAUUGUAGAAGUUCACAGCGUCUUGUGGCGAUUUCUUUCUGCUCAUGAAGACUUCGCGCGAAGUUCACUGUCGGCCCCAUCUAGAAAAUUAGCAUCUCCAUAUGUACACAAAAUCAAUUCACGUGCGGUUUAUUUGCUGUUUGCUAUGGAGAAGUUUAUUAAUAUUUUUUUGGAAAGUUCACUCCUUCGGUUAGCUAUUUGUAUGGGUAAUUGAUAUGUGUGUUGCACUAUUUACUGUCGACGGUAUAGAUGUAGGAAACUAUAAGUUCGGAUUUAAUUGUGGAACAGUGCAAUGGGGGAGAACAAUAUCUGGCAAAUUAUGUUCCAACUCUUUUUAAUUUAUUCAUUACAUAAUUGGGGGAGUCCAGUGCACCGCCCUUGGGAAGUCCACACCGGGUGACCACCAAAGUCCACCACGUCGACAGUGAGGUGGACUUCCGGCGGCCGCAGACGUGAAUUUCCAACCACCGUGAGUAUGUACUUGUCCUCAUUGGCUCGUAUUCUACCGUUGUCCCAUGCAAAGCUAUGUGUUUUUCUCCUGCUGCUGCAUCCUCCUGUGUGUAUGUAUUGCUGAAGCUGCUAAAUCCAAUCCCCGGUGUAAGGGAAGUGCAUCUCUAAGUUUUUUGCCUACUAUAUUAUUACAGUUUAGCAAAUUUAAUUGGCUACUAAAAGAGAGUAAAAUCAGUGAAGAUCUAUUGCUAUGUAUUUUUUGCUUUGAUUGAUUUGCUGGUUGGUUGGUAGUUGUUUGUAAAUACCUGGUGUUUGUUGUGUAUAAAAGUUCAUUCUUUAACUCUCCGGAAGUUCACCAUAGAAAAAGUUAAAGUGAAGUUUUCUAUCCAGAACUUUAGAGUAGAAAUUUAAGUUCUAUUUUAUUCUGUUAUUUCAAUUUUUGCAAUUCACGGAUAGAAAAAUGUGAAGUUCACCUAGACAUGAUGGUGACGUUCAGAGAUAGCCUAGCCUAUGUCAAGUUUGGAUGGUGCUGCCCUUGUUUUUUUUUUGCAUCUGUAUAGCUGUCUUCAGUGUUAAUUUGAAGCCAUCAAACUAAUUCCUAGUUCAUUAUAUGGGUUUGGCACCUCUAAAAAAACUGGACGAUCAUUAUGAAAUCGAACAUUAGAAUUGUCAAAAAAAAAUCGGGAUGUUCAUUUUUUCAUCAAUUUGUUCCCCUCUUGAAAGUGCAUUUCUUAUAUAUGGGGAGUGCUAAUGUGAACUGCUUCUGCCGAUUGGGUUCUGCUAUUUUCUACUAUCUUUUCUUUGUCCAAUUUCCUUGCGAAUAGUUGUAAAAAAGUACAUGAACAGUACAUUGUUAAAGUUCAGUAGGUAAGCUCGAGAAGUUUAGCUUGUAUGCAUGUGAGGUUUACUUAUAAGGUUCACUUUUCUUGUCUGCAAGGUUCACUACAGAGUUUGUCUGCAAGGUUCACUACAGAGUUUGCAAUCACUACAGAGUUUGUUAUAUACAUACUGCUAUUCUUGUUUGGCUGGUUGUUUUGGUUGAGUUUGGCAUGUGAAGCUUAAAGAAAGUGUCAUUUCAGAUAUGCUGCACCGGUACUGGAAGAAAGAGCAUGACUCCGGGUGCGAAAAUUGGAUGGAGCUCUCAAAGUUACAUUUCGUUUUGGCUGUUCUAACCAUCAAGCUCAAGUUUAAGUUAUUAGGUUCCGAUAUUCUACAUAAUGACCAAGCACAAUAUUCAACUUCUUUUUGAGACCUGACCUGCAGUGUUUCCUCUUCUCCUCCUAUCAAAGAUGAAUAUGCUAACUGCAGUGCUGCCCGUGCUCCUCUGCAUCUAAUCUAAGGUCGAAGGAGGAAGUUCAUUUUUCCUGUAAAAAACGAGAGAGGAAAAUGUCACCUGUACAAUUAAUUUAUUUUAGGCAGUUGGUGCAUUUGCUUAUUACCGCCAAGUUUAUUCGGCAAAAGAACGUGGAAUGGUGCUCCGGUAUUACUCUCCGGGGAUUUCAACACUACACUUAAGGCAAAGAGUUCAAGUUUGCGCAAUACUCGAGCGGCCGCAGGAUGCCAACUAGGUUCUCCCAUGAGCAU